UUUAGAGUUUGAUCUUGGCUCAGGACGAACGCUGGCGGCGUGCUUAACACAUGCAAGUCGAACGAUGAAGCCUAGCUUGCUAGGUGGAUUAGUGGCGAACGGGUGAGUAAUACGUGAGUGACCUACCUUUGACUCUGGGAUAAGCCUGGGAAACUGGGUCUAAUACCGGAUACGACCAAUCUCCGCAUGGGGUGUUGGUGGAAAGCGUUAUGGAGUGGUUUUAGAUGGGCUCACGGCCUAUCAGCUUGUUGGUGAGGUAAUGGCUUACCAAGGCGACGACGGGUAGCCGGCCUGAGAGGGUGACCGGCCACACUGGGACUGAGACACGGCCCAGACUCCUACGGGAGGCAGCAGUGGGGAAUAUUGCACAAUGGGCGCAAGCCUGAUGCAGCGACGCCGCGUGAGGGAUGACGGCCUUCGGGUUGUAAACCUCUGUUAGCAUCGAAGAAGCGAAAGUCG
rnacentral:rRNA from 1 species